rnacentral:lncRNA from 1 species
CCGCUCGUUUGGGUGCACUCGAUUCCAAUCUUAAUUGACUAGGAUUGUCAGUUUUCCUAUCGAAGGUCGGUGGUUUUUUCCGGGCACUCCGGCUUCCUCCACCCAUAAAAACUUACCGCCACGAAAUAUCCCUUGGAUAAAUUUACCAAAAAGUUAAUGGUAUAACUAUAUAGCAUUAUGUAACCUUAUUCAUCAGUAGGUUAGUGAAUAAAAUAUUAGUUUACAACUUUUAUGAUUUAACAAACACAAU